CCUACGGGAGGCAGCAGUGGGGAAUAUUGCGCAAUGGGCGAAAGCCUGACGCAGCGACGCCGCGUGAGGGAUGAAGGUCUUCGGAUCGUAAACCUCUGUCAGCAGGGAAGAACGGUCACUGUGCUAAUCAGCAGUGAAUUGACGGUACCUGCAAAGGAAGCACCGGCUAACUCCGUGCCAGCAGCCGCGGUAAUACGGAGGGUGCGAGCGUUAAUCGGAAUUACUGGGCGUAAAGCGCUCGUAGGCGGUAUGUCAAGUCAAGGGUGAAAUCCCCGCGCUCAACGUGGGAACUGCCUUUGAAACGGGCAAACUGGAGUGUGUGAGAGGAGAGUGGAAUUCCAGGUGUAGGAGUGAAAGCCGUAGAUAUCUGGAGGAACAUCAGUGGCGAAGGCGACUAUCUGGCACAUAACUGACGCUGAGGAGCGAAAGCGUGGGUAGCAAACAGGAUUAGAUACCCUUGUAGUC
rnacentral:rRNA from 1 species